AGAGGAGGAGGAGAAACAAAGAAAAACAGUCUUCCAACCACUCUGGAAGUUUUCUUUACCAGAGCACUGCUCAGCUAUGGCUUACUGCUACAAAGGACUGAAUUUGGGACCUUGGGUUUUCAGACAUGGAAGUCUAUAUGCAUAACGAUUAUGCCAUCUUCUUAGGCCCAUAAAUUGAUGCUCACAUUGCAAAGGUCAAAACAAAGGAAAGGUGUCGCAUAGGCCCAAGAAUUAAGGAGGAAGAGCUUCAAUGAGGAAGAAAGGGAAAUCUACACAGUUUUGUGAUCAGAUAUUUCUUGAGUUCAUCUGCAGUAGGGGCUGACUUGCUUACAAAGCAGUUACCCAACUAGUGUUUUAAACAAAAGGGGCAUUUAAAUCAUUGGAGUGGAUUAAAGUGGUCUAGGAAUGGUGAAGUUGUGCUCGGUAAGAAACAAAACAGAAAAAAGAAAAAGAAAAACCUUAAGAAUUGGCAUUGUACGCUGUUUAGAAACUGUUUCCUGGGCAGCUGAACUCUAUACUCUUUUGUCAUGUGCAUGACCAGGAUUGAACCCAACCACUCAUGGCACUGAAAGAAGCUUUACUACUGUGGUCUCUUUC